CAAACAUAACCAUCAGCUCGUUGUUAUUUCUUGGUUAACGGUUGAAUGCUUAUCCAAAAUAGUCCCAACAAGUUUAUUUUGAUCCGUCAGUCCUUAAUUACAGUCCGAAAAAGAUGCGCCAAAUUCUAGGUGUGGUGAUUCUUGGGAUUAUGCUGGCGUUUCCUCAAGCGGAUGCUUGCAACCUGAAUAUCAGCCCAGUGUGUGGUGUGGAUGGGAAGACAUACAAGAACGAAUGUUUUGCUAAGUCGGCGGGAGCCAAAAUUGCUCAUAAGGGCAAUUGUUCCGGUGGGUGCGACCAUGAAAAAUCCGCUUGACUUCGGUCCACAAUUAUUCAACUGUGAAAAAGUGGAAGUUGAACGAAAAGAGCGGAGUUGUACCAUUCCUUGUUUUGUCCGAUAAAACAGGCUUCGCUUCCGUGAUUGUUUAUGAUAGUUGUAUCUUGUGGGCCUUGUGGCUCGAGUAACAUUUUAUGACAAAAUGCGGAUGUUUUAUAUUCCAUUUUGUCCUUUCAUGGAAAACCCUAAGAACAUGUUGUUAAUUAUUCAUAAUUGGGUGCUUAUUACCAUGAGGGUUCAAGACGAUUG